UCCACCAUUCUCAAGAGCGCAGACUUCCUCUUUCUUCAUUCAAUUAGCGAGCAUUAUAGGUGCAGGCGGGCAGAACGUAGCUUUAAGACGAGAAUGUAUUGCCUUCACGGGCUCUAAGUAGCAUGGUUAGUAUGGUUGGUAAUACGCGUAUGGCUGCCGGCCUGCUGCCCAGUAUUCUUAAUGGAUGCGUCUGGGCUAAUUAGAAAACUGUGGUUGGGGAACAUACUGAAUAGUGGUCGUGCUUGCGUGGACUGUAGUACCUAAAUGUGCCAGCCAGUAGACAAAACAACAAAAGUAUUUCCUCUCCUCAGCUUAUAUAACCGUAUCUCAGGGAGUAGUCAGUGCUACUAUAUAACGGAUAAUGCCUUUAAAUGGCAAGGCGUUUCAAGCUGGCAGGGCAGCAAACAGUAGAGGCAAACCCUGAGAUGAGGCCUCUGAAAACCUGCUGCACACAGAAGGGGAAUCACAGCUGCAACCACUGCAGUGGCUGCCUCUCAAUCGAGGUGUGUGCACGUGUGUGUGCUCAAACACUGGCACCAGGGGGCACAAGGAGGCCAGAGCUCCAAUGGUGACGAUCCACAGAGGGACUGCAGUGCCAAUAUCAUAUGGCUGAACUCUUGCGAGACCAACUUGUUUUCAUCCUCUUGAGUAUCUGGCUCAGCUCAAGAUGUGAAAAUCCAAAAGCUGAAAACUCCAUUAGAGCCAGAGUCAUGCAGUUCGACAACGGCAGACAGCUUGGUAAAUCAUGAGCUGUUUGCAGUUCAUCUGACGGGGGGCAACAAUAGCAGCAGUGUGUUGGCCAUGGGGUGUUGUAGGGAGCCCCUGGAGAGCCCCUGGCUGGUGUGGAGUGGUGCGGAGCAGGACCAAGCGCCUUGAUCCACUGUGAACAGGCCUAGAAAAUGUGCACCUGUCUGUCAGACAUUGACUGCUGGAGCCCCAUCUACUUAUCAUACCGCCAGUGUACAGGUGUAGGAUCUUAAUUUGAUCAACCUAUUUGUAGGAAAUGUCAAACUUGUAGUGUAUUUGAGGUUUCAAAUGUAUUCUGAAGCUUGUCAUUUCCACUUUGAAAUGUCAAUCUUGAUUUGCCCUAACAAAAAAGACGUCAACUACAACAAAAAUCUGUUCAUUACCAUCCACGUAAUAACUCUCAUUUCCUGUUUCUGCAGGAUUAUUUUCCAGCUUGCAAACUGGCUCAAAUUAAGAUUCUACAUCUGUAGCAUCCAAAAGCACAACUGUCUCACUUGUGUCCUGCCUCUGUGUAUUUGACUCAUUCUCCAUAGACGGCCCCUUGGCAGCUUGUUAAGAUGUUGCUACAGUUCAAAUGAUGGUUAGUUGGGCACUCACAUUCAUAGGCUCUCACACUGGAAGGCUAACACACACGCUAACACACAGACAUUUGAUGCUUCUGUGUAUUGUUUGGUGUGAACCAGUGCUCGCCUGCAUGUUUUUAUUCUCCUACCCUGUAAUCAAUUUGGCUGGGAUUGGGGUCAGACUGACCGUUUGGCGCCUCGAUUUCUUGCUGCAAUGAAUCAAGUCAUAUCAUUUAUUGGAAACGUAACCUGCAAAGAAAACGUUUACAGUGAAAAGAAUCCCACUAUAAUAAAGAUAUCAUAUUUUAGCAUAAUGAC